GACGAACGCUGGCGGCGUGCCUAAUACAUGCAAGUAGAACGCACAGUUUAUACCGUAGCUUGCUACACCAUAGACUGUGAGUUGCGAACGGGUGAGUAACGCGUAGGUAACCUGCCUGGUAGCGGGGGAUAACUAUUGGAAACGAUAGCUAAUACCGCAUAAUAUUAAUUAUUGCAUGAUAAUUAAUUGAAAGGUGCAAUUGCACCACUACCAGAUGGACCUGCGUUGUAUUAGCUAGUAGGUGAGGUAACGGCUCACCUAGGCGACGAUACAUAGCCGACCUGAGAGGGUGAUCGGCCACACUGGGACUGAGACACGGCCCAGACUCCUACGGGAGGCAGUAGUAGGGAAUCUUCGGCAAUGGACGAAAGUCUGACCGAGCAACGCCGCGUGAGUGAAGAAGGUUUUCGGAUCGUAAAGCUCUGUUGUAAGAGAAGAACGGGUGUGAGAGUGGAAAGUUCACACUGUGACGGUAUCUUACCAGAAAGGGACGGCUAACUACGUG
rnacentral:rRNA from 1 species